rnacentral:lncRNA from 1 species
CUCCCACUGUUGAAGCUUCCAAAAUCUGAGGAAGGAGCAGAAGAAGGAGAAAGAACAAAACGUUGUUGAUCUUCACAGUUGAUAGAACUAUCAACAAGCCAAUUCAGAUUCUUCCGUACAUUGGAAGCAGAAGAAGAAACAGGAGAAUUAUAAUUAGAAUUAGCCUCACCAUAAUUCAUACCCUCCAAGGAACACGUGAGUUCAUUAAGCAUACCCUUAUAGCUAUGAACACCAACACCGUGAUGGGACUUAUCAGAUCCUACAAACCUAGACAAGGGUGAGACCCCAUUUGCGGGAGAAGAAGGUGACAUUGGAGGAGAGAAAAAACGAGACAUACCAAACAAAGUAGAAGUUGGUGAACAAGUGGAAACACAAGAAUUACAAUGACAAAACAAACAAGAGUGUUUAAUAUUCGAAGGGUU